GACAGUUUUUCCUUCUAAAUGUAUUGUUGAGAGUCCAAGUUCAAUGCUUAAUCAGAAUUACUGAAGAUAGACUUAAAGGGGAAAUGUGGCAAAAAAUAGGAUUAUGAUUUACUAUAUUUAACCUAAAUCAAUUUGGUGAGGUUUCCUGUUCUUGCUUAUUUGCACUGAGGUCUUUACACCCGUGCUUAUUUUUCCUGCUUUGUUAUAGGCAAAGUUCUAUAGGGCGGAAGUAUCAUAGACAGACAAGUUUGAGUCCCAUUUUGCCUAUAAUGAAGACUCCACAAACUUGCUAAAGAGUGAAUGAUUCGAUUUCCCAACAAAAAAAUAAAUUGAAGUAUCCAUUAAUAAUGCAAUCACUUAUUUUAACAGACAUCUCACAAAAUGUGCCUAUUCCCCAAAUUAACCAUAGCACCUUCCCACAAGGCAGAUCAAAAUCUAAGCAUUUUAUAAAUAUGUGAUGUACAUAUAUGCACAUAUAUAUUCUGUACAUAGUGUGAUGGAGUGAGCACUUACCAGGUGUGUGCUUUUGUUCUAGGAUGGAAGAGGCAAUUCAUGUCUGUUUAGCAUCUACUGUCUGUUCAUCCAUCCUUGCCUGCCUCUUCUUUCUGCUCCCCCAUCUUCUGUUCAUUUCUACUAUUUCCUAUUAUUGACUAUAACAGAGACUAUUCACUGAAUUUUCAAUUAUCCAGACCCAAAACCAGCAAUUCUUUUUUUUUUUUUUUUUUUGGAAUAGCAACAAAACACCCAGCACAAUAUUCAGUAUUACUAUCAGCCAAAGGUCCC
rnacentral:lncRNA from 1 species